UAAUUGGCCUGAUGACGGACUGGUACAGCCACAGAGUGAUUUUCGGGGAUAAACCCCAUCUUUUACCUAUCAUUCUGCGGCACUGCCAGAAGGCUAUUGUGGCCUUGUCAAUCUUGCUGUUGAGAUGGCUGCUCCAGUUCAGUUUGCUAUCUAGAAUGAUUCCUAGAUACUUCACCUCCGAGCUGAACUGCAGCUCCGUUCCGAACAGUCUAGGGGGAUUGUAGUUCCCCAGUAGUCGUUUGUUAGUGAACAUUACCUGUUCCGUCUUUCUGGGAUUGACGGUAAGUUCGUUGUCUAUGCACCAUCUCUCCACAAUCCAUGUAAGGUGUUAACAU